rnacentral:lncRNA from 14 species
UGACUAGGCCCUAACUGGUUUCUCUGAGGCAUUCCUGUGGCGCAGUGUUGUUCGGGAGUUGCAGAAUGGUGUGAAGCUGCGUAAAGCUACUGAGCGACCACAGCAUCACUUGCCUCCAGCAGAACGUAUCCGUUCUCCCUAUGAAUUGCUUUUGGAUGAUAUUCAGCGCAAGAGGUUCACGCUUCGGAAGGUGAUCAAGCAGAAACACGGGACCCCCAAAGCUGAUGUAGCUGUCCCCAAGUCUCAUCUGAAACCUGUGCUGGAGAGGAAGCUGAAAGAGUGCAUGCCGCAGGAGUCCAACUGGCACGAACAGCUUAUGGCGGAAAUAAAACAAC